GAUGAACGCUGGCGGCGUGCCUAAUACAUGCAAGUCGAGCGAACAGACGAGGAGAUCGCUCUCUUGACGUUAGCGGCGGACGGGCGAGUAACACGUGGAUCACCUACUUAUAUGACUGGGAUAAUUUCGGGAAACCGGAGCCAAUAAUGGAUCAUAUAAUGAACCGCAUGGUUCAAUAGUGAAAGACGGCUUUGCUGAUACAUAUAGCUGGAUCCGCGCCGCAUUAGCUAGUUGGUAAGGUAACGGCUUACCAAGGCAACGAUGCGUAGCCGACCUGAGAGGAUGAUCAGCCACACUGGAACUGAGACACGGUCCAGACUCCUACGGGAGGCAGCAGUAGGGAAUCUUCCACAAUGGGCGAAAGCCUGACGGAGCAACGCCGCGUGGGUGAUGAAGGUCUUCGGAUCGUAAAACUCUGUUAUUAGGAAAGAACAAAUGUGUAAUUAACUAUGCACGUCUUGACGGUACCUAAUCAGAAAGCCACGGCUAACUUCGUG
rnacentral:rRNA from 1 species